UGUGACUGAAGCUCCAAAGGCCAGCAGGCUGGUGGGGACGUGACCGAAGCGAGGCUCUAGUUCCCUUUCGAUGGGCGCCAGUUGAGCCUCGCCUCUGGCUUCCCCAGGAUGCGCCGGCAGCUGGGGAGCGGCUGCGGGCGCGAGGCCUGAGGAUGAUCUUUCCUGUCGUCCGCUACGCGCUCCGGUGGCUGCGACGGCCCGAAGACCGUGCCUUUUCCCGCGCCGCCAUGGAGGUGGCCCUCCGAGGCGUGCGGAAAGUCCUCUGUGUGGCCGAAAAAAACGACGCGGCCAAGGGGAUCGCCGACCUGCUGUCAAACGGUCGCAUGAAGCGGAGAGAAGGACUUUCAAAAUUCAACAAGAUCUAUGAAUUUGAUUAUCACCUGUAUGGCCAGAAUGUUACCAUGGUAAUGACUUCGGUUUCUGGACAUUUACUGGCUCAUGAUUUCCAGAUGCAGUUUCGAAAAUGGCAGAGCUGCAACCCUCUUGUCCUCUUUGAAGCAGAAAUUGAAAAGUACUGCCCAGAGAAUUUUGUAGACAUUAAGUAAAGCCCAAUCUGCAGGUGUUGCGAGCCCGAUUCUCU
rnacentral:sRNA from 1 species